GUUGGAACUAGGGCACUAUGUAGGGAAUUCAUUAGGGAGGUAUUUGGGUUGGAACUAGGGCACUAUGUAGGGAAUUCAUUAGGGAGGUAUUUGGGUUGGAACUAGGGUACUAUGUAGGGAAUUCAUUAGGGUGGUAUUUGGGUUGGAACUAGGGUACUAUGUAGGGAAUUCAUUAGGGUGGUAUUUGGGUUGGAACUAGGGUACUAUGUAGGGAAUUCAUUAGGGUGGUAUUUGGGUUGGAACUAGGGUACUAGGUAGGGAAUUCAUUAGGGAGGUAUUUGGGUUGGAACUAGGGUACUAGGUAGGGAAUUCAUUAGGGUGGUAUUUGGGUUGGAACUAGGGUACUAUGUAGGGAAUUCAUUAGGGAGGUAUUUGGGUUGGAACUAGGGUACUAUGUAGGGAAUUCAUUAGGGUGGUAUUUGGGUUGGAACUAGGGUACUAGGUAGGGAAUUCAUUAGGGAGGUAUUUGGGUUGGAACUGGGGUACUAUGUAGGGAAUUCAUUAGGGUGGUAUUUGGGUUGGAACUAGGGUACUAUGUAGGGAAUUCAUUAGGGUGGUAUUUGGGUUGGAACUAGGGUACUAUGUAGGGAAUUCAUUAGGGUGGUAUUUGGGUUGGAACUAGGGUACUAUGUAGGGAAUUCAUUAGGGAGGUAUUUG